GGACGAACGCUGGCGGCGUGCUUAACACAUGCAAGUCGAGCGGAAAGGCCACUUCGGUGGUACUCGAGCGGCGAACGGGUGAGUAACACGUGAGUAAUCUGCCCCUGGCUUUGGGAUAGCCACCGGAAACGGUGAUUAAUACCGAAUAUGACCACGUACUGCAUGGUGUGUGGUGGAAAGUUUUUCGGCCAGGGAUGUGCUCGCGGCCUAUCAGCUUGAUGGUGAGGUAAUGGCUCACCAUGGCUUCGACGGGUAGCCGGCCUGAGAGGGUGACCGGUCACACUGGGACUGAGACACGGCCCAGACUCCUACGGGAGGCAGCAGUGGGGAAUAUUGGACAAUGGGCGGAAGCCUGAUCCAGCAACGCCGCGUGAGGGA
rnacentral:rRNA from 1 species